AUUGAACGCUGGCGGCAUGCCUUACACAUGCAAGUCGAACGGCAGCACGGGGUAACCUGGUGGCGAGUGGCGAACGGGUGAGUAAUGCAUCGGAACGUACCUUUCAGUGGGGGAUAACGUAGCGAAAGUUACGCCAAUACCGCAUAUUCUGUGAGCAGGAAAGCAGGGGAUCGCAAGACCUUGCGCUGAUUGAGCGGCCGAUGUCAGAUUAGCUAGUUGGUGAGGUAAAGGCUCACCAAGGCGACGAUCUGUAGCGGGUCUGAGAGGAUGAACCGCCACACUGGAACUGAGACACGGUCCAGACUCCUACGGGAGGCAGCAGUGGGGAAUUUUGGACAAUGGGGGCAACCCUGAUCCAGCCAUGCCGCGUGAGUGAAGAAGGCCUUCGGGUUGUAAAGCUCUUUCGGCCGGGAAGAAAUCGCACGGGCUAAUACCCUGUGUGGAUGACGGUACCGGAAUAAGAAGCACCGGCUAACUACGUGCCAGCCGCCGCCGUAAAAC
rnacentral:rRNA from 1 species